ensembl:lncRNA
GUGUGGGGGAGGGAGGGCUGCUAAAAGCAGAGAACUUGAUUGACCUCAAGAAAAGAAAAUGCAGAGAAGACUCACCACUCGGCAGGCCUUGGAAAUGAUCCUGAGUGAAGUAAACCCUUGUGACUCAGAUGGAGAAGACAUAGAACUUCAGCCGGAUUCGGACUCAGAUCUGUCUGAUCUGUCUUCAGAUGAGGAGACUGCUCCUCAACCAAAAAAGAGAGCCCGUUUGGGGACUGACCUGACAGAGACAGUGAAAGAUGGCACAGUGUGGCGUGAAGAACAGGUGGGGACGCGUCUCCCUUUCACCCCAAUCAAAGCGUAUGCUGCAGAUGGAGAGCCAACGGCUAUGGCCAGGAAAAGUAUCUCGAGUCGCCUUCAGAGCUUCCUAUUCAACAUGCACAGGAAACGGAGCAUGUUCAUUGGUUCAUGGCCCUCCCUGAACUAAUGGCAUUUAUUGCAAUUGUCAUCUUGCGGGGGCUUACCAAGGUUCCAUCACUACGUGACUGCUGGUCAGCAAACCUGGGAAACCCACAUAUCAUUGGAACAAUGCCGCGAAACCGCUUCCAAGACAUCAUGCGACACCUACGCUUUGAUGACAGGUCCACCCGGAGUGAUCGAGCAAAGACUGAUAAGUUUGCUGCAAUUUCCAGUGUUUUCAACCACUGCUGCUACGCUGACGGCGUAUGCGCCCAAACGGAAGAAGACCGUCUACAUUCUUAGCAGCAUGCACAGCGUGAUUCAGACUGAUAAUACCACCAAAAGGAAGCCAAACACUGUCACCCUUUACAACACCACAAAGUGCGGCGUGGAUGUGAUGGACCAGAUGGUGCGGGAGUACACUAUCCGCACAGGGACACGGCGCUGGCCAGUUGCCGUGUUCUAUAACAUGAUUGACAUGGCAGCACUGAAUGCACAUGUGCUGUAUCAAGCAUCCACCGAAAGGCAGGAAAGACGGGUGGACUUCCUGGUGGAGCUUGCAAGAGAGUUGGCUAACUCUCAUAUGUGUGCGAAGAAGGCAAGAAAAGAACAAUUGCUUCGGACACAACCCUCCACACCUAGCCCUGGAAAAAGAGCCAUGUGUCAGGUCAAACACCAAUGCAAGAACAAUCAUGCCACUGUGCGAUGUGUUCACUGCUACAGAUACACAUGUGGUAAAUGCAGACGGGAGAUACCAUGGCAGUGCCAGGAUUGUGAGUGAUUGCUGGAUUACUCACUCACUUUUUAAUAUUAUUUGUAAAUAUGUGUACAAAUGGUUGGUUUCUUUAUUUUAUUUUGUACUAUUUUUAUCAAUAAAUCUCAGCAACAA